UUUCGCAGCUCUGAACCAGUAGGCUGCUGGUUGGAGGCUUGAGAAGCUGAGAGAAAAGAGGAUUUGCUGCUGUAGCAGGGUCAAAUAUUGUGGCUUAACUCAGUUGGGGCUGAGUUAAUAAUCUAAGAAGGUUUUCGAAUUAAUUUGAGCUAAAUCAGUGACCUUGGGGGCUGGUUUAGAAGGUGUUUCAACCAGAGAUAAGUAGAAAUUUCAGUUAGAAAACUGAUUUCGCAAGAUUUGGGCUAUGUUGACUCGUAUACAAGUAUAUUGAUGUUGUUUUGGUGUGGUUCGCAGCGAGAGUGCAACCGACU